rnacentral:lncRNA from 1 species
AGUCAUAUUAGCAGUCUUGCUCUUAGCAGUAUUAGUAGAAGUAAAUGUCUUUUCUUAUCAGCAGCAGCUUCCACAUACCUGCAGACGAGCCAGAGUAUAAGCACCGCAGCUUCAGUGACUGCAGGAGACAGAACAGAGCCUACCUCAUCUGGUGCACAGGCCUGGACAAAUCACUCACAGGCAGGAACUGAAGGUGUGACAGAGACUAAAGGGACGCACCGGACAACAUCAACCUCAACCACCACUGAGCCUUCAAGCAAUGGGACCGACUCUGCCCAUAUACAUGGCAGCACAACAACAGCGGUGAUCGGCUGUGCUUCAUUGGCCUUCGUCUUAGCUUUGAUCGGAAUCAGCCUAUAUUGUUAUAAAAGGUAAGCUAGAGAAAAGCAUGUUAACAUAGUGAUUCAUUGAAAAAUGUAUUUGUUCAGGUGUAAAUAUGUCACGCUACACUUUCUUUCGCUUGAUAGAACAACUGAAAUAAAGGUAAAAUGGUUUGUUUGCAAACCCAUGUGCCUACUUAAUCAAAACACGCAUUUACACUAGGGGUGGGGGGGAAAAUCAAUACAGCAUAGUAUCAUGAUUUUUUCUGUGGC